rnacentral:tRNA from 1 species
GCCGGGCGUGGUGGGGGUGAGCAGCAGGUCCGCGGUCUCGAACACCGCGUCCAGGCCGGGGUUCGGUCCGCAGCGGCCGGCG